CGGACGGGUGAGUAACGCGUGGGUAACCUGCCUCAUACAGGGGGAUAACAGUUAGAAAUGACUGCUAAUACCGCAUAAGCGCACAGUACCGCAUGGUACGGUGUGAAAAACUCCGGUGGUAUGAGAUGGACCCGCGUCUGAUUAGCUAGUUGGUGGGGUAACGGCCCACCAAGGCGACGAUCAGUAGCCGACCUGAGAGGGUGACCGGCCACAUUGGGACUGAGACACGGCCCAG
rnacentral:rRNA from 1 species